UAGGGAAUCUUCGGCAAUGGGGGGAACCCUGACCGAGCAACGCCGCGGGAGUGAAGAAGGUUUUCGGAUCGUAAAGCUCUGUUGUUAAGGAAGAACGAGUGUGAGAAUGGAAAGUUCAUACUGUGACGGUACUUAACCAGAAAGGGACGGCUAACUACGUGCCAGCAGCCGGGGUAAUACGUAGGUCCCGAGCGUUGUCCGGAUUUAUUGGGCGUAAAGCGAGCGCAGGCGGUUAGAUAAGUCUGAAGUUAAAGGCAGUGGCUCAACCAUUGUAGGCUUUGGAAACUGUUUAACUUGAGUGCAGAAGGGGAGGGUGGAAUUCCAUGUGUAGCGGUGAAAUGCGUAGAUAUAUGGAGGAACACCGGUGGCGAAAGCGGCUCUCUGGUCUGUAACUGACGCUGGGGCUCGAAAGCGUGGGGAGCGAACAGG
rnacentral:rRNA from 1 species